rnacentral:rRNA from 1 species
AUUUUUGAUGUCUUGACGAUGGUGUUUUCAGAGGGUUGUAUAAUGAAUCUAUCAUGUUUUCCAUGUGUGAUAGCAUCAUUUAGAAGAUUUCAGCAACUUAAUUUUGUGUUCAUUGUUGAACUGUUCUAAGUAGUCAGGUAACCACGCACUAAACCACGGUACACAUGCACGAUAAUUUAAACUGUCCCUAAUUAGCAUUGGGUGCAGCAGAGAUUAUCGGAGCUGUGGUACAGCUACCCACCGCGCUAUGUGUCCCACCUUUCCAGUCGUGUCACGUCUGGAAAAUUACUGUCCCCUCACAUCACCCCCACCCUGUUGUCAUCUACCUCCACCCCACCUAACGCAGCUCUGUGUCCCUCUGUUCUUCUCACCAGAAGGAGCUCGGCUCCCACAGAACCAGGUGCGGCAGCAUGUUCCUCGCCGCCCGAGUUUCCCUACCACGGCGAGCCCCCUCAUCCUCCGGUGCUGGGCGAGGACAGUCGGUGGGGAGCGAGGCUAGUCGGUGGGGAUCCGGACCACAUGAAGAGCAUUUUUAGGCGGGGACGGAUAAAAUGUCAAGGCUUUUUAGUGGAGUACAAGCUGCGAUGGUUAUCAAUCGGGUAGAAAACAGUGAGCAAUCUCCUGAAGAUUGGAAUAGCGAUGGUGAUGGUUCAGGCUGUUCAACCGGAGUAGCUGGCACACCAUGUUUCACCUCUAGGUUAUCACUGCUCAAGGCUGGUUCAGUAAUAGCACAAUUUAAUGAAUUCAAGCAGCAGUUAGUCAGGGAAACCGGUUUCGGAGGAAUGCUAGAGUUGAAGUCAUGGCAGAAGAUUAACUUGAAAUAUAGUGCUUUUUUGAUGGAUAGAGUUGAUUUAGAUUCCUUCUCCUUGAAUCUGGAGGCACAGGGUGUGUUGGAUUUGGUUGACAGGGAUAUGAACUAUGUCUUUGGCAUCCCAUGUGGCAAUCUAACCAUUCAAGGGGAAGGCGUUGAGCCAUCUAAAGCUUGUAUUAAGUACACGCGUGUAGCAGCAUCAUUUAGCGAGAAAGGCACACACACAGCCUGGAAGCCGCUGAAUCAUUCUUGCUUGCACCCAUAUUAGAAGAAUCAACAGAAACAAAGAAGGAUUGUUUCAAAAUUGCCUUCGUGAUUUUCAUCAUUGGACACGUGCUCGCGCCGACCGCCAAACAUGAUUACAUAUCAGUAGAUUUCUGGGCUGCACUCAACGAUGUCAGCAAGAUCAAAGAUUGGAACUGGGGGUCCCUUAUGUACGGAAGCAUCUGUUACAAGCGGUCAGGAAGUUCAAAACCGAUGUUUCAUAGCGGAAUCAAACUAUACACAUAGUCGGAUGUCAUAUGUUCCUGCAGGUUUUUGUUCUCGACAUGUUAGAGCUGGGUGUACUAAACAAGCCCCAAGGAGUAACACCAAGAAUAGGCUUGUAUGACUAUGAGUCGAUGAAAAAGAUGCUCGAGCAAAUCGCGGUUAACUUCCCCAGUGGAGAAGUCACUUUCAACAGUGGCAAGGUUACGAGCGGUACGUCUGCGGGAGGGGGGCUCGAGGCACAUGGAAAUGAUCCGGCAAAAGAAAAAAUCGCUAAGCCAGCUAUAGCCCCAAAAAGAGCAAGCACUCCAUGCUCACCAAUGCUACGAUCUACUUACACCAAGAAUGGCCCGCAGGAAUUUCCAAAUUAUAUAUGCUCGCGGUACCCUAGCAUAUCAGCACAGAAGCUUGCGGCCUAGCAAACAUAUCGAAAAUGCGGCAAGCGUUCCGAUCAAACAUGUUCACCUUGACUGACAAGCUAAUGGCGUGCCUCGGAGAAAUGUGUACAUGCUGUAAGGCACGUGGACGAAAAAGUGUAUCCUGAAGUGUGAAGGCACAACCAUCCAUGCCCCGCCUCCUGAUACGUCUCCAACGUAUCUAUAAUUUUUGAUUGCUCCAUGCUAUAUUAUCUACUGUUCUGGACUAUAUUGGGCUUUAUUUUCCACUUUUAUAUUAUUUUUGGGACUAACCUAUUAACCGAAGGCCCAGCCCAGAAUUGCUGUUUUUUGCCUAUUUCAGUGUUUCGGAGAAACAGAAUAUCAAAUGGAGUCCAAACGGAAUAAAACCUUCGAGAACGUGAUUUUCUCACUGAACGUGAUCCAGGAGACUUAGAUCCUACUCCAAGGAGUCAAAGAGGAGGUCACGAGGGUGCGGGGGCCCCCCAACCUCGUGGGCCCCUCGGUGCUCCACCGACGUACUUCUUCCUCCUAUAUAUACAUACAUACCCCCAAACGAUCAGAACAGGAGCCAAAAAGCUAAUUCCACCGCCGCAACUUUCUAUAUCCACGAGAUCCCAUCUUGGGGCCUGUUCCGGAGCUCCGCCGAAAGAGGGCCGUCAUCACAAAUGGCUUCUACAUCAUCCUAGCCCCUCUGAUGAAGUGUGAGUAGUUUACCUCAGACCUUCGGGUCCAUAGUUAGUAGCUAGAUGGCUUCUUCUCUCUUUUUGGAUCUCAAUACAAAGUUCUCCCCCUCUCUUGUGGAGAUCUAUUCGAUGUUAUCUUUUUUUUGCGGUGUGUUUGUUGAGAUCGAUGAAUUGUGGGUUUAUGAUCAAGUCUAUCUAUGAAUAAUAUUUGAAUCUUCUCUGAAUUCUUUUAUGUAUGAUUGGUUAUCUUUGCAAGUCUCUUCGAAUUAUCUGUUUGGUUUGGCCAACUAGAUUGGUAGUUCUUGCCAUGGGAGAAGUGCUUAGCUUUGGGUUCGAUCUUGCGGUGUCCUUACCCAGUGACAGAAGGGGCAGCAAGGCACAUAUUGCAUCGUUGCCAUUGAGGAUAACAAGAUGG